GGGUUGUGAGGUUAAGCGACUAAGCGUACACGGUGGAUGCCCUGGCAGUCAGAGGCGAUGAAGGACGUGCUAAUCUGCGAUAAGCGCCGGUAAGGUGAUAUGAACCGUUAUAACCGGCGAUUUCCGAAUGGGGAAACCCAGUGUGACUCGUCACACUAUCAUUAACUGAAUCCAUAGGUUAAUGAGGCGAACCGGGGGAACUGAAACAUCUAAGUACCCCGAGGAAAAGAAAUCAACCGAGAUUCCCCCAGUAGCGGCGAGCGAACGGGGAGGAGCCCAGAGCCUGAAUCAGCAUGUGUGUUAGUGGAAGCGUCUGGAAAGGCGCGCGAUACAGGGUGACAGCCCCGUACACAAAAGCGCAUGUGCUGUGAGCUCGAUGAGUAGGGCGGGACACGUGGUAUCCUGUCUGAAUAUGGGGGGACCAUCCUCCAAGGCUAAAUACUCCUGACUGACCGAUAGUGAACCAGUACCGUGAGGGAAAGGCGAAAAGAACCCCGGCGAGGGGAGUGAAAAAGAACCUGAAACCGUGUACGUACAAGCAGUGGGAGCACCCUUCGGGGUGUGACUGCGUACCUUUUGUAUAAUGGGUCAGCGACUUAUAUUCUGUAGCAAGGUUAACCGUAUAGGGGAGCCGGAGGGAAACCGAGUCUUAAUUGGGCGUUAAGUUGCAGGGUAUAGACCCGAAACCCGGUGAUCUAGCCAUGGGCAGGUUGAAGGUUGGGUAACACUAACUGGAGGACCGAACCGAC
rnacentral:rRNA from 1 species